rnacentral:lncRNA from 1 species
CUUGAUACUGAUACUAUAGUUUAUUUCAAUCAUGUUUGUGUUCUGUGAUAUUUUCUCAUUAUAAGUUUAGGAAGUAAAACAGAUAAAUGGUGUGGAGUUGUUCAAAGCAAGAUCACCACUGGGAUUUGAAAUGUUUUUCUGCUGCAGAUGAGUAAGAAUUGUGGAUAUUGUGGCAGCUGCAGUUCCUGAGGAGCUAUGAAGCCAGAUACGUGGGUAUCAGGACUCCCUCUUUCAUCUCCCCUUUCCUUUAGUUGCAGCUGUUUAUCUCAGGUCUUUACAGGGCUGAGCCAGGCAGGCAUCAGGCAGCUAUGCUGCGAGGCCACCAGGACAUAGAAGAAGGAAGAUAAAAACGGCUGCAGGAGGCUCUUCGGGAACUGACGGUGGGUGCCCUUUCUCGUCCAUCUGAAUGACGGUGAGGGUGUUUGUUUUGUUUUGUAGCAUGUUGGUUCGUAUGGAAGAGACAAGUGCCCAAGUCUUGUCAUUCUCACUUAUAAAAUGGGAGGACCACCCCUGCGCCAUGCUGGGCUGAGUACUGACUGGGUAGGAUGUGGGCAGAACUUGG